UACGUAGGGGGGCGAGCGUUGUCCGGAUUUAUUGGGCGUAAAGAGCGUGUAGGCGGCCAGGUAGGUCUGCUGUGAAAACUCGAGGCUCAACCUCGAGACGUCGGCGGAAACCAUCUGGCUAGAGUCCGGAAGAGGAGAGUGGAAUUCCUGGUGUAGCGGUGAAAUGCGCAGAUAUCAGGAAGAACACCCGUGGCUAAGGCGGUUCUCUAGUACGGUACUGACGCUGAGACGCGAAAGCGUGGGGAGCGAACAGG
rnacentral:rRNA from 1 species